GCAGCCGGCAGCCAAGCCUCACUCCCUCACUGUCCGCACGCCCUCCGGUCUCCCUCUACGCAUCGCUGAGCCACCGUCCGUGUCUGCUCGUCGCUGAGACGCCGUCCGUGUCUGCUCGUCACUUAGAUGACGCCAAGCCUCACUCAGUCACCCUCGCCGUCCGUGUUUGCUCAUCACUGAGACGACGCCAAGCUUCACUCCCUCACCGUCGCCGUCCGUGUCUGACUCGUCGACCUCUCUCCAUCGCCACGAGCCUGCGACGCCGUCUGUUGUAUUGACUUCCGUCGUCCUCUCUCCAUCGCUGCUUAGUUUCUUCAGAUUACUAUGAGGGGCUCGUGUUCUUGUGAAACCAUAUAGGGGAAAGUCAAAGCCUAUUGAAAGGAAAUUUCAAGACAAAAUUGAUCCAUCAAUGAAUUACAACUCUCACAACGAUUUUGAAUAUGAGAAUCAAUCAAGAUUGGAUUCCAAAUUUCUAAGGAGAUUCGAGGAACAACACGCUCUCAAACUUGAGAUAAGGCGACUCUCGCAACUGCAGUUAGCACGAAAGCCUCUGUUGUCUAAUCAUUCUUUCUUUGGCUGUUCCAUGGACGAGCUGAAAAUGUCUGAAGAGUAUUCCAAGCUCACGUCUGCUGAUGAUUUCUACCAGUUGGAUGGUCCAAGCGGCGGCUCCUCAAGUGAUGAUAAUAACCAAAUAUAUUCAAGCACAAAAUACCAUGAUCACGGGAGGAAUUAAUCUCCCGGACAGCCCCUUUGCAUCUGCAUUACCGACCAGCAUCUCUGCAGUUAUGUAGGCCAAAUGACACAUAACAAAAAGUCGUUCAUCUGAUAGACGAAUGCUGACAGGAGGCUUCUGGCUGCAAAGGGAAGUGUUCCAAUUGGAAUUGGCAGGAAUUCACACAUCAUCAAAAGACCAAUCAUUGGCAAGAAUGCUCGUAAUGGGAAUGAUGUGAAGAUCAUUAACAAUGAAAAUGUUCAAGAAGCAGCUAGGGAAACUGAAGGAUAUUUCAUUAAAAGUGGAAUCAGAAUCAUCAAGGAUGCAUUGAUUCCUAGUGGAACCAUCAUGUAGAAGUAUUUGAAAAUCAUGUGUACAUGAUUACUGUAGUGUAGCCGUUAGAGAGACUAAUGAUGCAUCCUGUUAAACCUUUCGUUUUAGUUUUGAACUUUUAAAUAAUAAAGCAUAAUCUUCAUCUCUAUGCUGCUUUUUUCCCA